UACGAAGGGUGCUAGCGUUGUUCGGAAUUACUGGGCGUAAAGCGCGCGUAGGCGGCUAUUCAAGUCAGGGGUGAAAUCCCACAGCUCAACUGUGGAACUGCCUUUGAAACUGUAUAGCUAGAGUGUCGGAGGGGAUAGCGGAAUUGCUAAUGUAGAGGUGAAAUUCGUAGAUAUUAGCAGGAACACCGGUGGCGAAGGCGGCUAUCUGGACGACAACUGACGCUGAGGCGCGAAAGCGUGGGAAUCAAACAGG
rnacentral:rRNA from 1 species